UACGUAGGGGGCUAGCGUUGUCCGGAUUUAUUGGGCGUAAAGAGCGUGUAGGCGGCCUGACAGGUCUGCUGUGAAAACUCGAGGCUCAACCUCGAGAUGUCGGCGGAAACCGUCUGGCUAGAGUCCGGAAGAGGAGAGUGGAAUUCCUGGUGUAGCGGUGAAAUGCGCAGAUAUCAGGAAGAACACCUAUGGCGAAGACAGCUCUCUGGGACGGUACUGACGCUGAGACGCGAAAGCGUGGGGAGCAAACAGG
rnacentral:rRNA from 1 species